GGGAAGGUAGCUCAGUGGUAGAGUGCUUGCCUUGCAUGCAUGAGGCCCUGGGUUCAAUUCCUCAGCACCA
rfam:Dipodomys ordii contig_70646, whole genome shotgun sequence.